CGUGUUUAUUGUACCUUGUUGCUUCGGUGCGCCCGCCUCACGGCCGCCGGGGGGCUUCUGCCCCCGGGUCCGCGCGCACCGGAGACACCAUUGAACUCUGUCUGAAGAUUGCAGUCUGAGCAUAAACUAAAUAAGUUAAAACUUUCAACAACGGAUCUCUUGGUUCCGGCAUCGAUGAAGAACGCAGCGAAAUGCGAUAACUAAUGUGAAUUGCAGAAUUCAGUGAAUCAUCGAGUCUUUGAACGCACAUUGCGCCCCCUGGUAUUCCGGGGGGCAUGCCUGUCCGAGCGUCAUUGCUGCCCUCAAGCACGGCUUGUGUGUUGGGCUCCGUCCCCCCGGGGACGGGCCCGAAAGGCAGCGGCGGCACCGAGUCCGGUCCUCGAGCGUAUGGGGCUUUGUCACCCGCUCUGUAGGCCCGGCCGGCGCCAGCCGACAACCAAUCAUCCUUUUCAGGUUGACCUCGGAUCAGGUAGGGAUACCCGCUGAACUUAAGCAUAUCAAUAAGCGGGGGA
rnacentral:rRNA from 1 species